rnacentral:rRNA from 1 species
AUUGAACGCUGGCGGCAGGCUUAACACAUGCAAGUCGAGCGGAGAUGAGGUGCUUGCACCUUAUCUUAGCGGCGGACGGGUGAGUAAUGCUUAGGAAUCUGCCUAUUAGUGGGGGACAACAUUCCGAAAGGAAUGCUAAUACCGCAUACGCCCUACGGGGGAAAGCAGGGGAUCUUCGGACCUUGCGCUAAUAGAUGAGCCUAAGUCGGAUUAGCUAGUUGGUGGGGUAAAGGCCCACCAAGGCGACGAUCUGUAGCGGGUCUGAGAGGAUGAUCCGCCACACUGGGACUGAGACACGGCCCAGACUCCUACGGGAGGCAGCAGUGGGGAAUAUUGGACAAUGGGCGGAAGCCUGAUCCAGCCAUGCCGCGUGUGUGAAGAAGGCCUUUUGGUUGUAAAGCACUUUAAGCGAGGAGGAGGCUACUUAGAUUAAUACUCUGGGAUAGUGGACGUUACUCGCAGAAUAAGCACCGGCUAACUCUGUGCCAGCCGCCGCAGUAAUAC